ACAGAUUUAAUAUAAAAGGAAGUAUGCUAGUCUCCAAAACUAGAAGUGUAGGUUCAAGUCCUACAGUCUGUG
rnacentral:tRNA from 1 species